rnacentral:lncRNA from 1 species
GGAUCUGAUGCCCUCCCCUGCCCUUAACAGGCACUGCACAAACACAUCUAAUAAGAUGCCUGCCUUGGGCUUCCAGUAACAGAGAGAGACCUUUCUGCCUCAGUGCCGCACACAGGGGUCACAGGCAUGCACCAGCGUGCUCAGGUCCCAUACUAAUUAUAACUGAGAUCGGGAAGCUAACAGUCUUUAAGCCCCGCCCACCACUGAAGUCUGGCUUUUUUCUGAUACAUCUGAGAGCAAGUGGAUGUGGAUAGUUGUCCUGUCACUCUGGUCCCAUCUGGCUCUAUCCACUCCUGGAGGCCUGAGGAAUCCGUUUGGAAGGUAGAACUAUGUUAGCGACUUUUGUCCCUUGUGUGUGGUGUACAUUUGUCUGUAGGCAUGUUCAUGUGUGUGGGUGCACAUGUGUAUGGAUAUGCAUGCAUUCAUGCCUAGCACUUUCUGCCUUGUUCUCUCUCUCUCUCUCUCUCUCUCUCUUUCUCUCUCUGUUUUUUCAAGACAGGGUUUCUCUGCGUAGCCCUGGCUGUCCUGGAACUCACUCUGUAGACCAGGCUUUGAACUCAGAAAUCCUCCUGCCUCUGCUUCCCAAGUGCUGUGAUUAAAGGCAUGCGCCACCAUGCCCGGCCCCUGCCUUGCUCUCUUAAUACUGGGUGUCUAUGAUUGCUUUUUACCUUCUCUAUUGAGGUAGGGUCCCACAGCUGAAUCCCACCCAGAGCUUACUGAAUCCCACCUCUGCCUCCUAAACACUGGGAUUAGAACUGGGCCACCAGAUGGGCAUGGUGUUUAUGUGGACGCCAGGGAUCUGAACUCUGGUACUCACACUCCUGUGACAAGUGUUUUAACCACUGAGCCAUGUCCCCAGCCUCCUUUUUAAAAAAGAUUUUUGAAGAGACUUGUGGAGUGGAUGUCAGAACUUUAAGACUCCCUGAAUCACUUACAAAGCUCUGGAUUACAGCAUAAGCAGUGGGGAAUUCUAAGUGCUUUGCGGGACCACGAACUAGGGCAGUCGGAGGUAUCAGUGCCAGGAGCAUGCAGGCAUCUGCAGUUCUGAAUGCCUAGGUCACGCCAGUGGAAAGAAACUGCUUUUCCAAAAAGAUUUAUUUAUUUAUUUUCAGUAUUAAUUCGGUCUCUGUGUGUUGUGUACAUGUGUGUGGGUAUCCACACAGGUCAGUGAGUUGGAUCUCUUUGGGCUACAAUUGCCUACGGUUGUGUAAGCCAUGAACUAUGGGUGUUGAAACUAAACUCGAGUCCUCUGCAAGAACAGUACCCACUCUUU